rnacentral:rRNA from 1 species
UAAGGAAUAUUGCUCAAUGGGCGAAAUCCUGAAGCAGCAACGCCGCGUGGAGGAUGAAGGGUCUAUGACUUGUAAACUCCUGUAAAGAAGGAAAAAAUUCCCAUUAGAUGGGAGAUGAUGGUACUUCUGGAGUAAGCCCCGGCUAACUACGUGCCAGCAGCCGCGGUAAUACGUAGGGGGCAAGCGUUGUCCGGAUUUACUGGGUGUCAAGGGUGCUCAGGCGGAUUUGUAAGUCAGAGGUGAAAUCUUACAGCUUAACUGUGAAACUGCCUUUGAUACUGCAAGCCUAGAGUAUGGAAGAGAGUGAUGGAAUAUCUGGUGUAGCAGUGAAAUGCGUAGAUAUCAGAUAGAACACCAAUGGCGAAGGCAGUCACUUGGUCCAUUACUGACGCUAAAGCACGAAAGCGUGGGUAGCAAACA